rnacentral:rRNA from 1 species
AACGAACGCUGGCGGCAUGCCUAACACAUGCAAGUCGAACGAGACCUUCGGGUCUAGUGGCGCACGGGUGCGUAACGCGUGGGAACCUGCCCUUAGGUUCGGAAUACCUCCCCGAAAGGGGUGCUCAUACCGGAUAAUGUCUUCGGACCAAAGAUUUAUCGCCUUUGGAUGGGCCCGCGUUGGAUUAGCUAGUUGGUAGGGUAAAAGCCUACCAAGGCGACGAUCCAUAGCUGGUCUGAGAGGAUGAUCAGCCACACUGGGACUAAGACACGGCCCAGACUCCUACGGGAGGCAGCAGAGGGGAAUAUUGGACAAGGGGCGAAAGCCUGAUCCAGCAAUGCCGCGUAAGUGAUGAAGGCCUUAGGGUUGUAAAGCUCUUUUACCCGGGAUGAUAAUGACAGUACCGGGAGAAUAAGCACCGGCUAACUCCGUG